CAUGCACUGAUGCUACUUCCCCUACCUUGCCCCAGGUCUCUAUCCAGCGCCAUUGACCCUGGUGUCGACCUCAGCCCUUACAUAGCACUGAAUACAGAGGAGAGGAGCAAGAGGAGAGGAUUGAUGUAUAAAGCAGUCGCUGUAAAGCAGCCAAAGACCAAGAUUAAAAAGCCUGUCAAGAGAGUGCUCCAAUUUCUACCACUAUCCAGGAAAAAUGAAUAAACUUGGAAGUGAAGCACAUCUUCAAGAAUUCUUAUCAAAUAUUGAAAUGUUGAACUGUUAUUGUUGGUUGAAUUGUUUGAUUGGGAAGUAUGUUAGUUGUGUUGAAAUUGCACUUCAGCUCUUUGUUGGUUUGUUCAACAAUAUUUGUAUUAUUUAUCUUUGUUUCAUAUUUGCAUAGUAGGCUAUUUUGA